GCUGCACAGGAGCUGUCAGUGGUCUGAGGCUGGGGCCGCCGGCACCCAGAGCCUCCCGCAGAGAAGGGAGCCGGCCUCUGCCCUGGCCAUCGUCAGGCCGCGGUAAGGGAUGAAGGUGGAGGAGACGGAAACCAGGGCGAGGACUCAUGACAGGAACAGGGGUCAGGAAUCCCUUCAGUCCAUCUCAUCUCCCCAGGCCAGAGGCACCUGGUCAUUCCAGAGCCAGAUUUACAGAGACACCGCUCUCAUCCCAUCAGACCACCCAUCACAGGGUGCGAUUCAGCAGGUUUUAGGGCGUUCACAGAUUGUACAGCCGUCACCACAGUCAGUUCCAGAGCCUUCCGUCACUGCCUUCAGCCAUUGCCUGAGCCCGGCCCAGCCCCCGAGACCUCACAUCUGAGGAGUUGCCCAGCCUGGAUGUUCACACCAGCGGGUCUCGUGGCCGCUGCGGAGGUGCCCGCUGUCUGUGGCCAUCACUGGCUGUGGAGCCCUGGUCUGCGGUGGUUCCUGAUGCCCUGCUCCAUUCACCAAUGGGGAGACUGGCUGUUGAGGGGCUGGCCUGAGCCAGGGCCGCUGUUCCCAGGUCCUGCAGGGCUCUAAGGGGCCCCCUUUGGUAGCCUGGGGAUAAUUUUUUAAUAUUUAAUAAACUUUUUUAAAUUAA